CACGUAGCACAAUGUUACCAUUAUAGUACAACACUAGCAUAAAGGUAAUAUUGUGCUAUGAAGUCUGGUCACAAAAAUCUGUCUCCUUUAUAUCCUGAAAUCAGGAUUCCUCUCCAAAUAUUCUCCUGAAAUUGCAGUCAUAAAAUCUGGCUAAACACAAACCCAGUGGCCAUAGAGUGUAGCAGUUUGCUCUCCUACAGCAAUA
rnacentral:lncRNA from 10 species